CCUGGAGGUGAAGCCUUGGGAGGAGGAAGAUCUUCAAGAGGUGGAGCCUCUGGAGAAGGAGUCUCUGUAGGUGAAGGCUCUGGAGUUGGAGAAGAAGGUGGUGGAGAAGGUAGUGGAGAAGGACAUGGAGGUGGAGAAGGAGGUGAAGAAGGAUGUGAAGGAGGUUGAGAAGUAGGUGAAGGUGGAGAAGGAUGUGCAGGAGUUUGAGAGACAAAAAGAAAACAAAGUGCAUCAGGUUUUUCAGGUCCAGGACCAGCUCUUCCAACCUUCUCAAGGAUGACAGAGCCCCACCUGAGCUGCCUGCAUCUCUCACACACACAGAGCAAAACAUUAGAUAUAUUUGCAUGAAGCAAUACUUGCAAUGAAAAAAAAAUGAAUUGCUUGGAAAAUAUGAA